GACUUCAAAUGGUCAAAUUUAAUAUACCACACACAUUUUGUAUAUUCAUGAUAGAAAAAUAUGCUUCAUGUCAGGCAUAAAACUAGAAUUAUGCAUAAAGGGAACUGCAACAAAAGUCCUUCUGUUUUGUACAUAAACACCUAUAUUCACACUUGCAACACUUAACUCCAAAUCAUAAAUAAAUACACUAAAUUACAAAACUCAAAGCCUAAAACUAGCAAGAAAAAAAUGAAAAAGAUCAG
rnacentral:misc_RNA from 1 species